UCCCCAAGGCACUGAGGCCCUUGGAACCACGCCCUCCCCUUUUUAUGUUUCAUGUGACACUUUUUAAUCCUGUACAACUAGUGCUUCAUGACCAAUUCUUGGUGAAAUGCUGGUGAGGAAGGAAAAUAUAAGGGGAAGAAUUUACACGGAAAGGGAUCCGCAGAAGGUUCCUGAUCAGUGAGGCCCCAAAAGAUGCCCCAUGCACAAAAUUCUCCUACUUAGAAGGAGAGUAUUGGUCGUUCACCUCACUCUUCCUUUAAAGGACAGAUCACCUCUGAGAGAUGCAGAAAGAGAGACUUGGAGAAGUUAAUGAACUGGCCUGUGCUUUCACAGUCAGUGGGUAAAAGAACCAGCAUCUGAAAGCAGCCGGCCUGAUCCCACAGCCCAUCAUCUUUCUACUUGCUGCCCUCUGCCUUCACACCAAAUGCGUCUACCCUGAAGAUGUUUUAAAAACCAUAAGGAGAGGCAAGAUUUACACAGAUCGGAAAAGCAAAAAAAUAAAAAUAAAUUGAAAAAGAACACGAGAUGGAAAAAAAAAAAAAAGAACACGAGAUAGGAUUCAACAAAAUCCAACAAGGAAGGUGGUCAAAAACCACAAUGUGUGGUCGUGAACAAAAAGUAAAGAUGGGAGGGACAGUCUGUGUGGAAAGGAGGUUGGCCUUGAUGUCCACCCCAUUAAGUUCAGGAAUUAUCACCUUUUCCUGUGCUGAUGUGAACUUUGGAUUCUUUGGGUGACUGUUCCUUGCUCUACCAUGGCGUCUGAAUUCAAGGCAGAGCCCUGGAAUCCAUUUGUACUGUUGACUCUUCUCAUUCUUUAGCCCCCUACUCACCUACCUUCACCGAACCCCUUCCCUAAAAUACCGGUGAGGCCAGUAAUCUUUCAGAAAUAACAAGAAAGCGGGAUUUACAAUUAUUUUGAUAAUGUCUGUGCAAACAGCCAUAAAUUCUAUACUUUACAUCAUGCAAAGGGCUGCAGUGUUGACAGUAAGAAAGGGUCAAACCAAAUAUUUGCAUCUGGGGCCUCACCUGUUAGACCGGCAGUGAAGAGUCCAAAGUACAGCCCCAAGGCACCCACCGAAGCCCAGCAGUGCACUUGCGACUAUUUUCCUGAAAGUUCCUGCUAGCCAACCCUUGCGGGCCCACUGCCGGCUCCUUUGAAAUGGGGAUCUCACCUCUCCCCAUUCACUUACCGAAAAUAUGUCCAUUAUAGGAUCAGAUAAAGUCAUUUGUAUACUUAUUUGAAAUUCUUAGCAGCCCUGCCUGCUUUGGACCAGGAAGACAGUCAUUUAAAGCUACAGUCUGAUAAAAGAAGAAAAAAAAAGAAUCACUGGGGAACUGUCUCCUCACCCUCGACACCUCCUGUCUCCUUCCUAAGGUUUGACCUGAAAUCCUGGUGUGCAGCAGUGAAGGGGAAAAUAUCUAUUCAUGUUACUGGGAACCCCUAACACUGUCUUCCUUUUGCUCCUCAGAUCAUAGGAAAUCAAGAAUUUUUUGAGGAAGCAAUUUCAUGUUGGUUUUGGUGGAUUGAAACAAAUUCAGGCCACCAGAUAAAAGAAAGAAGAGGAAUGGAAAUAAGAUCACCCUGCCCCACCUCAAGCCUGGAGACCUUACUGUCUCGAAGCAGCAUUUUUUUAAAUAUAAACUUAGCAUAAAUAAUUACCAGGAAGAAGUGAACCCAUAUUUCUUACAAUAAAGAAUAUUCUAACUAACGAGCUCCAACUACGCUGAAGUCUCAUGUCACGCCCUCAUGGACAGUGGGUAUCAUACAAGGCACUUCCCAGAGCCCCCUUGUGCCAUACUGAUAGACAGAAGCACUGUACAGACAGCAACCAACCUGUACAGUCAGGAUUUUCUGGAUAUUCUUGAUGUAAAUAUAUUGUCCCACUGCUGGAAUAGAAAAACGUGUGUCUCAAAAAAAAAAAAAAAAAAAGAAAGAAAGAAAAAAAGAAAAACGUGUGUCUCUACGUCCAUCUGCAUUAAGCUCAAGCGUGUGUGUUCUCUGUUAUAGGACGACUCUGUCCUCAUUGAAUACGGUCUAACAAAGCAGGGGCAUCGGUCAUAUUCAAAAUCUUUCUGCGUAACAUAUUCAUCACAUCUUGUUAAUUAUAGACUAAAUAGAGUCUGAGCCCAGUUUUGAGGGCUAAUAACAGGGGAAAUAUUAUUUACUAACCUGAUUUUACUUCUCGAUGAACAGAUAUACCAACGUUCUGGGUUCAGAAAUGAUUUUUCCUAUUAUUUUGGUUCUUCCAUGAGCAGCCCCAGAAUAAUACAAGCUGAAAUACAAUCCUAUUCCUUGGAUGCUGGCUUUGCUGUUUUUCUCAAAGAACCAAGGCCUCUUGUGGUCCUCAAGCGUAUCCACACAGCCACCUGCUGAUGGGCUAGUAGUUUUGGUGUGAAAGCAUCAGGGUGGGGGCUCAGCUGUGGAACCCAGAAAGCUGGAGGAUGGCCACCGAACACUCAGCAUUUUGCUGGGUUUGGGUUUGUUUUUAACGAGUGCACCAGUCCUUUUCGAGAUGCAGCUGCCACAGAAAAGGAAGAAAGAAACCAUGAGGAAUAUGAGAAGACAGGAUUCCCAUAGUACUCCUGAAGAGUUGGAAAGUUUCCUGGUAAAGCUGAACUUGUUUCUCAUCCUUAUACGAAAGCCCACUCACAUGCCCGAUGUCUAGCCUACCACCUUCCCCACAUUAAAGUGGCUCAGUUUCUAUUUGUUACAUCCAGCAGCCUUUCCAGGUGAACACAGUGCACAGCAAAACACAAUUCCUGCCCUCCGGAAGCUCACUGUCCAACAAGCACAACAGACAGGUGAAUCAGUGACUUCGAUUUAUGAUGCAGGUUUGAUGACGAGAGCAGAGCAGGAUUGAAGCACAGAAGAGAACAAGUGAAUCAAGUCAAGGCUCGUGGGGACGCCUGAGUGGCUCAGUGGUUGAGCGUCUGCCUUUGGCUCAGGGCAUGAUCCUGGAGUCCUAGGAUCGAGUCCCACGUCGGGCUCCCUGCAUGGAGCCUGCUUCUCCCUCUGCCUGUGUCUCUGCCUCUCUCUCUCUCUAUCCCUCUGUGUGUGUGUCUCAUGAAUAAAUAAAUAAAAUCUUUAAAAAAAAAAAAAGACUCGUGGUCAGGAAGGCUUCCUGGAGCACUCCUCUGGCCACCACACAACGAGACACCCCCAAAGACAGAGCCUGUACCUGGUUAUCGCCCUGACUCCACACCACCUACUACCACCACUGGCUUAUCAGCCCUUCGUAUCACUUGCACCUUCGCACAACCGUUUCCUACAUGAUUCUUUAGCCAAAUAGUUUCUACAACUUUGCAAACACAUGAUUGAACUCGUUAUUGUUUUUUUUUUUUCUUUCUUGAAAUUUGAGUUAAAUUUACCCAACCAUAUAAUACCAAAGGGGGAAAAAAAUCUCACUUUUACAUCUUUCUAUCCAAAAGGCAAUCUCUUUUACCACCUCUUUUUGUUGUUUCACUCACGAGAACUUGGAUACUUGAGUGUUUGUGUAAAUGAAAACAAAAAUAGAAUUCUGUUUGUAUGAAUCUUACAAUAAAACAAAAUAAACCCACCAAUUAAAAAUCUUCA